GGUUCCGUAGUGUAGUGGUUAUCACGUUCGCUUCACAAGUGAAAGGUCUUCGGUACGAUUCCGGAGGGAGAGAGAACCA